GCUCUGGUGGCACAAUGAUUAAGUGCUUAGCUGCUAACCAUAAGGUUGAUGGUUUGAAUCCAUCCAGUGGCU
rnacentral:tRNA from 1 species